rnacentral:rRNA from 1 species
CGGUGCCGCAGCUAACGCAUCAAGUCCUCCGCCUGGGAAGUACGCUCGCAAGAGUGAAACUCAAAGGAAUUGACGGGGACCCGAACAAGUAGCGGAGCAUGUGGUUUAAUUCGAAGCAACGCGAAGAACCUUACCUAAGCUGGACAUCCCAAUGACAUCUCCUUAAUCGGAGAGUUCCCUUCGGGGACAUUGGUGACAGGUGGUGCAUGGUUGUCGUCAGCUCGUGUCGUGAGAUGUUGGGUUAAGUCCCGCAACGAGCGCAACCCUUGUCUUUAGUUGCCAUCAUUAAGUUGGGCACUCUAGAGA